rnacentral:misc_RNA from 1 species
UCUCCGUUGGUGAACCAGCGGAAGGAUCAUUACUGAGUGAGGGCCCUCUGGGUCCAACCUCCCACCCGUGUUUAUUAUACCUUGUUGCUUCGGUGAGCCCGCCUCACGGCCGCCGGGGGGCAUCUGCCCCCGGGCCCGCGCCCACCGAAGACACCUAGAACUCUGUAUGAAGAUUGCAGUCUGAGCAAAAACUAAAUAAGUUAAAACUUUCAACAACGGAUCUCUUGGUUCCG